rnacentral:rRNA from 1 species
UACGAGUGCCUCAAGCGUUAUCCGGAAUCAUUGGGCGUAAAGUGUGCGCAGGCGGCCGCGCAAGUCGAGUGUGAAAGCCCCGGGCUUAACUUGGGAAUUGCGCUCGAAACUACGUGGCUGGAGUGUGGCAGAGGAAGGUGGAAUUCCACGUGUAGCGGUGAAAUGCGUAGAGAUGUGGAGGAACACCAAUGGCGAAGGCAGCCUUCUGGGCCAACACUGACGCUCAUGCACGAAAGCGUGGGGAGCAAACAGG